rnacentral:rRNA from 1 species
UGGGGAAUAUUGCACAAUGGGCGCAAGCCUGAUGCAGCCAUGCCGCGUGUGUGAAGAAGGCCUUCGGGUUGUAAAGCACUUUCAGCGGGGAGGAAGGCGGUGAGGUUAAUAACCUCAUCGAUUGACGUUACCCGCAGAAGAAGCACCGGCUAACUCCGUGCCAGCAGCCGCGGUAAUACGGAGGGUGCAAGCGUUAAUCGGAAUUACUGUGCGUAAAGCGCACGCAGGCGGUAUGUCAAGUCGGAUGUGAAAUCCCCGGGCUCAACCUGGGAACUGCAUUCGAAACUGGCAGGCUAGAGUCUUGUAGAGGGGGGUAGAAUUCCAGGUGUAGCGGUGAAAUGCGUAGAGAUCUGGAGGAAUACCGGUGGCGAAGGCGGCCCCCUGGACAAAGACUGACGCUCAGGUGCGAAAGCGUGGGGAGCAAACAGG